UCGCCCACCCUCCGGCCUCAAAAAGGAGCUCAGACGACUGCAGCAUAACAGUUCCAUCCAAAAAUCCACUCUCACUUUGAGGCCACAGGAAGAAAAUAGAGCAACCCACAUUCAUGUCUGUGCUCCUCAAAUACGCCGCAGCAUAAAGAACCACGGACUAAAAAUAUCCCCGAAAGCAGCAGGAGGAGGAAAAGCCUGAUCCAUUGGAAUUUUAAGUUCAUAAUUAACCCACAGACGGCAGCAAACUAUGAUGCUAAUACUAAGCUAGUGGUGUGCUGGUAGAACCACAGACACCGUGUCUGUCUAUUAGCAUGUCUCUGUGAGUCAGAAUGGAACCUCUCUGUCUGUGAUUCAGGGUGGAAUAAGACUGUUAGACUGUUUUCUCCUCAGCACAAGGUGCCCAUCAGCAGCCCAUGUUCUUGAAUGAGCUGGGUCAAGUUAACCUUUUGAAGGCAUGAGACAGACGGCAACACAAUCAGGAGGGAAGGAGGGUGGAAAAGAUUGCCAGAGUCUCUCCCCUCAAGAAACCAACACUCGACCCCUCUGACGUCCAAAACUACAGAUCAACAUCCCUUUAUUUUCUUUUCAAAACACUUGAGCGUGCUGUCUAUGACCGACUCCCUCUCUCGGAACAAUCUUCACUAGCCAGCUACCGCAGGUACUCUGCCUGGCACCUUAGACACUGACACUAGCCAGCUACCGCCGGUACUCUGCCUGGCACCUUAGACACUGACACUAGCCAGCUACCGCCGGUACUCUGCCUGGCACCUUAGACACUGACACUGGCCAGCUACCGCCGGUACUCUGCCUGGCACCUUAGACACUGACACUAGCCAGCUACCGCCGGUACUCUGCCUGGCACCUUAGACACUGACACUAGCCAGCUACCACCGCUGCCCCUUAGAGACUGCUGCCCCAUGUAUAUAGAGACAUUGAACACUGAUCACUUUCAAAAUGUUAACAUACUGUUUAUCCCAUUUUAAGUGACUUCAGGAAGUAUACAUUUUUUCCAAAUGUUGUUGUGUUAUAGCCUGAAUUUUUUAUAUAUUUUUUCCCCAUAAUGUCAUAGUAGAAUUAUGCAUUAUUGUAAUUUUUUUGUACAAAAUUCAAACCCCUUUCUUAUAGUAAGCCUAAAUAAGUUCAAAAUGUGCUUAACAAGUCACAUAAUAAGUUGCAUGGACUCACUCUGUGUGCAGUAAUAGUGUUUAACAUGAUUUUUGAAUGACUAGCUCAUCUCUGUACCCCACACAUACAAUUAUUCAUAAGGUCUCUCAGUCGAGCAGUGAAUUUCAUACACAGAUUUAAUUACAAAGACCAAUGAGGUUUACCAAUGCCUCACAAAGGGCACGUAUUGGUAGAUUAAUAUCCCUUUGAGCAUGGUGAAGUUAUCAAUGACACUUUGAAUGAUGUAUCAAUACACCCAGUUACUACAAAGAUACAGACGUCCUUACUAACUCAGUUGCCAGAGAGGAAGGAAACCGCCCAGGGAUUUCACCAUGAGGCCAAUGGUGACUUUAAAACAGCUACUGAGUUCAAUGGCUUUGAUAGGAGAAAACUGAGGAUGGAUCAACAACAUUGUAGUUACUCCACAAUAUUAACCUAAUUGACAGAGUGAAAAGAAGGAAGCAUGUACAGGUUCAAAAUAUUCCAAAACAUGCAUCCUGUUUGCAACAAGGCACUAAAGUAAUACUGCAAGUAAUGAACUUCUUGUCCUGAAGUGGUGUGUUUGAGGCAAAUCCAACACAAUAUAUCCCUGAGCAUCACUCUCUAUAUUUUCAAGCAUAGUGGUGGCUGCAUCAUGUUACUGCUCUUUUGGAGCUAGAAACAUAAGCAUUUUGCUGUACGUAUGAUAACAUCUGCACAUCUGUGUACACGACCAAUAAACUUUGUUUUGAUUUGACCCUAACAGUCAGGCUUUAAGACUGCUCACUAAAACGACACCACUCUCCUCUGUGUCACAGAGGCUCUCCGCUCUGCCAAAGCUGACCCUCUCUCCUCUGUGUCACAGAGGCUCUGCCAAAGCUGACCCUCUCUCCUCUGUGUCACAGAGGCUCUAACAAAGCUGACCCUCUCUCCUCUGUGUCACAAAUCAAAUCAAAUCAAAUGUAUUUAUAUAGCCCUUCGUACAUCAGCUGAUAUCUCAAAGUGCUGUACAGAAACACAGAGGCUCUCCGCUCUGCCAAAGCUGACCCUCUCUCCUCUGUGUCACAGAGGCUCUCCAAAGCUGACCCCCUCUCCUCUGUGUCACAGAGGCUCUCCAAAGCUGACCCUCUCUCCUCUGUGUCACAGAGGCUCUGCCAAAGCUGACCCACUCUCUUCUGUUCUCCUCCUCCUAGAUCUAUCCACUGGCUUCGACACUAUAAACCAUCAGAUCCCCUUCUCCACCCUCUCAGUGCUGGGCGUCUCAGGCUUUGCACAUUCCUGGAUUGCAUUCUACCUGGCAGGUCGCUCCUACCAGGUGACAUCGAGAUGAUCUCUGUGUCUUCACCACGUGCUCUCACUACAGUUGUCCUCCAGGGCUCAGUCCUAAGCUCUCUCCUCUUUUCUGUAUACACCAAGUCACUCUGCUCCGUCAUAUCUUCACAUGUUCUCUCCUAUCAUUGCUAUGCGGAUGACAACUCAACUUCUUUUCUCCUUCCCCCUUCUGACACCCAGGUGGCUCUUCAUUUCUUCGUGCCUGCCAGACAUCUCAGCUUGGAUGUCGGCCCACCACCUCAACCUCGACAAGACGGAGCUGCUCUUCCGCCUGGGGAAGGCCUGCCCGCUCCAAGACCUCUCUAUCACAGUUGACAAUUUCACAGUGUCCCCCUCCCAGAGUGAAAAGAACCUUGGCGUGACCCUGGACAACAUCCUGUCAUUCUCUGCAAACAUCAAAGCAGUGACUAGGUCCUGCAGGUUCAUGCUCUACAACAUCCGUAGAGUACAACCUUUCCUUACACAGGAAGCGGCACAGGUCUUAAUCCAGGCACUUGUCAUCUCCCGUUCGGACUAAUGCAACUCUCUGUUGGCUGGGCUCCCCGCUUGUGCCAUAAACCCCUGCAAUUUAUCCAGAAUGCCGCAGCCCACCUGGUGUUCAACCUUCCCACAUACUCCCAUUUCAACACCACUUCUCCACACACGCCACUGGUUUCCAGUCAGAGCUCGCAUCCACCACAAGACCAUGGUGCUUGCCUACGGAGCAUAAAGGGGAACUGCCCCUCCCUACCUUCAGGCUAUGCUCAAACGCUACACCCCAACCCAAGCACUCCGUUCUGCCACCUCUGGUCUCAUGGCCAUCCCACCCCUAUGGCACCCCAAUGGUGGAACGAGCUUCCCCCUGAUGCUAGAACAGCAGAGGUCAUGCCCAUCUUCCGAAAACAUCUGACACCCUACUUCUUCAUAGAGCAUCUUAAAUCAGACAUAUCAGUCUUACCCCCCCCCCCCCCCCACGCACACACACAUAAAAAAUAAGAAAAAAAGCUUACACUUGUCUUAACCUACUAGCUUUGACUUUGCUGAUAACUUCUUUAUUGAGCAAAAAUGCACUUACAUUUAUCGGUGGUGACAGUGUUUCCUAGCUACAGUGCAGUGGGCAGCUGGGAGGAGGUGCUUUUAUUCUCCAUGGACUGUGAUAUGUGGAUGCAAGUCAAUCUGGUUAAGAAUGUCUGCUAAAUGACAAAAAAAACGAACAUUUUAAUCUAAAAUGACGGAUCAUGGAGCCUGAGAUAUACUAAGGAAACAAACAGCCAUCUUUUUCUGUGCACAUUGAUUUCCACAUGAAGAGCAAAUACAUCCACUCUGUUUGCUCUGGAACCCUAAGUAAGACAAGUUUGCCUUGGACAUCAUGUCCCAACUACAACAUUUUCCGACAAGUUAGAACUGCCAAAGGGGGCGGAGUUGCAAUCUACUGCAGAGAUAGUCUGCAGAGUUCUGUCAUACUAUCCAGGUCUGUGCCCAAAACGUUUGAGCUUCUACUUUUAAAAAUCCACCUUUCCAGAAAUAAGUCUCUCACUGUUGCUGCUUGUUGUUUAAUUUUUUAAUUUUUUAUUUACCCUUUAUUUAACCAGGUAGGCAAGUUGAGAACAAGUUCUCAUUUACAAUUGCGACCUGGCCAAGAUAAAGCAAAGCAGUUCAACACAUACAAGGACACAGAGUUACACAUGGAGUAAAACAAACAUACAGUCAAUAAUACAGUAGAAACAAGUCUAUAUACGAUGUGAGCAAAUGAGGUGAGAUAAGGGAGGUAAAGGCAAAAAAAAAGGCCAUGGUGGCAAAGUAAAUACAAUAUAGCAAGUAAAACACUGGAAUGGUAGAUUUGCAGUGGAAGAAUGUGCAAAGUAGAAAUAAAAAUAAUGGGGUGCAAAUAGACCCCCUCAGCCCCCAGCUGUUCCCUGGACACCAUAUGUGAAUUUAUUGCCCCCCAUUUAUCUUCAGAGUUCGUACUGUGACCUAAACAGAGUUUGUUAGGUGACCUAAACUGGGAUAUGCUUAACACCCCGGCCAUCCUACAAUCUAAGCUAGAUGCCCUCAAUCUCACACAAAUGAUCAAGGAACCUACCAGGUACAACCCUAAAUCCGUAAACAUGGGCACCCUCAUAGAUAUCAUUCUGACCAACUUGCCUUCUACUGUCUUCAACCAGGAUCUCAGCGAUCACUGCCUAAUUUCCUGCGUCCGUAAUGGGUCCGCAGUCAAACGACCACCCCUCAUCACUGUCAAACACUCCCUAAAAUACUUCAGCGAACAGGCCUUUCUAAAUGACUCAUCCCGCCCGUAGAGGAUGCCUAGUUGUUCUUUGAAAGUGCUUUCCUCACCAUAUUAAAUAAGCAUGCCCCAUUCAAAAAAUGUAGAACUAAGAACAGAUAUAGCCCUUGGUUCACCCCAGACUUGACUGCCCUUGGCCAGCACAAAAACAUCCUGUGGCGCACUGCAUUAGCAUCGAAUAGCCCCCGCGAUGUGAAACUUUUCAGGGAAGUUAGGGACCAAUAUACACAGUCAGUUAGGAAAGCAAAAGCUCGCUUUUUCAAACAGAAAUUUGCAUCCUAUAGCACUAAUUCCAAAAAGUCUUGGGACACUGUAAAAUCCAUGGAGAAUAAUUGCACCUCCUCCCUGCUGCCCACUGCACUGAGGAUAGGAAACACUGUCACCACUGAUAAAUGUAUGACAAUCGAUAAUUGCAAUAAGCAUUUUUCAACGGCUGGACAUGCUUUCCACCUGGCUACCCUUACCUCGGCCAACAGCUCUGCACCCCUCGCAGCAACUUGCCCAAACCCACCUCACUUCUCCUUCACCCAAAUCCAGAUAACUGAUGUUCUGAAAGAGCUGCAAAAUCUGGACCCCUACAAAUCAGCUGGGCUAGACAAUCUGGACCCCUACAAAUCAGCUGGGCUAGACAAUCUGGACCCCUACAAAUCAGCUGGGCUAGACAAUCUGGACCCUCUCUUUCUAAAAUUAUCUGCCGCAUUUGUUGCAACCCUUAUUACUAGCCUGUUCAACCUCUCUUUCGUAUUGUCUGAGAUCCCUAAAGAUUGGAAAGCUGCCGCGGUCAUCACUCUAGACCCAAACUGUUACAGACCCAUAUCUAUCCUGCUCUGCCUUUCUAAAGUCUUUGAAAGUUAAGUGAACAAACAGAUCACCGACCAUUUCGAAUCACACCAUACCUUCUCCUCUAUGUAAUCUGGUUUCUGAGCUUGUCAUGGAUGCACCUCAGCCACGCUCAAGGUCCUAAACGAUAUCAUAACUGCCAUCGAUAAAAGACUCCUUGCUCGCACACGCUUUUUCAGUUCUGCCCACACAUUAUCUAUAGGAUUGAGGUCAGGGCUUUGUGAUGGCCACUCCAAUACCAUGCCUUUAUUGUCCUUAAGCCAUUUUACCACAACUUUGGAAGUAUGCUUGGGGUCAUUUUCCAUUUGGAAGACCCACUUGCGACCAAGCUUUAACUUUAACUGAUGUCUUGAGAUGUUGCUUCAAUAUAUCUACAUAUUUUCCCAACUCAUGAUGCCAUCUAUUUUGUGAAGUGCACCAGUCCCUCCUGCAGCAAAGCACCCCCACAACAUGAUGCUGCCACCCUCGUGCUUCACGGUUGGGUUGGUGUUCUUCGCUUGCAAGCCUAGAAGGCCAGCAACCCGGAGUCACCUCUUCACUGUUGACAUUGAGACGGGUGUUUUGUGGGUACUAUUUAAUGAAGCUGCCAGUUGAGGACUUGUGAGGCGUCUGUUUCUCAAUCUAGACACUCUAAUGUACUUAUCCUCUUGCUCAAGAAUAGUAUAAGAUUUUCAGAAAAAAAGUCCUGAUGCUGAGUAUCUGAUGCUCCAGAUUGUCACGCCCUGGCCUUAGUAUUUUGUGUUUUCUUUAUUAUUUUGGUCAGGCCAGGGUGUGACAUGGGUGAUUUAUGUGGUUUGUUUUGUCUAGGGGUUUUGUAGUUAAUGGGAUUGUGUUUAGUUAAGUAGUCUAGGAAAGUCUAUGGUUGCCUAGAGUGGUUCUCAAUCAGAGGCAGGUGUUUAUCGUUGUCUCUGAUUGGGAACCAUAUUUAGGCAGCCAUAUUCCUUGGGUAUUCCGUGGGUGAUUGUUCCUGUCUCUGUGUUUGUUCCUCAAGAUAGGGCUGUUUUGGUUUUUCACGUUUAUUGUUUUUUGUAAACUGUUUGUAUUUUCAUUAAAGAUGUUUAUGAAUAACCA